rnacentral:rRNA from 1 species
GACGAACGCUGGCGGCGUGCUUAACACAUGCAAGUCGAACGGUGAAGCUCCAGCUUGCUGGAGUGGAUCAGUGGCGAACGGGUGAGUAACACGUGAGUAACCUGCCCCAAACUCUGGAAUAAGCGCUGGAAACGGCGUCUAAUACCGGAUACGAAGUAGAGUCGCAUGGCUACUACUUGGAAAGUUUUUCGGUUUGGGAUGGACUCGCGGCCUAUCAGCUUGUUGGUGAGGUAAUGGCUCACCAAGGCGACGACGGGUAGCCGGCCUGAGAGGGCGACCGGCCACACUGGGACUGAGACACGGCCCAGACUCCUACGGGAGGCAGCAGUGGGGAAUAUUGCACAAUGGGCGCAAGCCUGAUGCAGCGACGCCGCGUGAGGGAUGACGGCCUUCGGGUUGUAAACCUCUUUCAGCAGGGAAGAAGCCGUAAGGUGACGGUACCUGCAGAAGAAGCACCGGCUAACUACGUGCCAGCAGCCGCCGUAAGAC